CAGCUUGCGAGACGAUCCUCGAUCUGAAGGUGAGAGCUUGAUGUCCAAGUUUUAGUUACACAGGGUCAAAGGCCCUCCUUUCUUCGCCACAUAUUUUCGAAUCUGAAACGAUGGGUAUUAGGUAUUGGGAGACCGGUGUCAGCGAUGAGCAAAAUCGAUGAGUGAUCCGAUCUUGGUGGCACAAUGUUGUGAACUUCGAUUUGAGGAAAUAGAUUGGAGAAGGCCUUUAUGAUUAGAGCUCGAUCGAGCCUUUCUUCUGUUGCAUUCCAUUUUCCCAAGGAUUUGGCCGAAG
rnacentral:lncRNA from 1 species